CCGACCCGUCGGGACACUCGGGCUCCCCGUCGCAGCGCCAGCGCCCCGGGACGCACUGGCCGUUCAGGCAGGCGAACUCUGCAGGCGCACAGGUCUUCCUGGCUGCUCGCGGGAGGAAACACAAACACAGAGGAACAGGGAGCCGUCUGGGCCAACGUGUCCUUCAGGUUCUACUACAAGCGCAAAGAGAAAAGUGCAAGGCAGCAAGGCCACAGGCUGAUAGACAUGUCGAGCAUGGGGAGGAUUGGAAAUCAAACCCACGUCAGGAUGAGGCUUGUUUAACAGACGGGGAAAGCGUUUAAUGUGACCUCCCUGAGCUCAACAGAGCCUCGAACGCGUCUGUUUGAGGGUCCCACCAACAAGCAUGGGCGGAGAACUGAAGGCAGACGGGGGUCAGAGACGUCCAAACCCCUCAUUCUGUAGGUCCAGCAGGACCUGCACUAAUAAAUCACCGGUUAAGAGUCCGUCGGCUGAGCUCAGAGCCACCACCACCACGCUGGCCUUCACCUGGGCUCCAAAUUAGAUCCACGUUUAGAGCGGUGCCGGGAGGUUAAGCGUGGCUGAGGGGCGGCGAGCGGCUCCUCUCUCUCUCACUAACAAACCCAUCACCCAUCAGACUCCAGAGCUCCAAACACUAGACAGUUCUCCCGAUGCCGAGUCCAGUUUCAGCAGCCGUUCGUUCCUUUAACAUUCACCUGCCAAAGGAAUCGAUGCUCCCCUCAGGUGCUGGUGGGGACCAAACAAAGUGUGAAUGAAUAUUUCACACGGUGGAACCCACACAUUGAUUUACCUGUGGCAGUCUACAAUGAAGAGAGAUGCAGGAGAGAGGGGGGAGGAGGAGGACGAGAAGCAAGGAACCCGAAGGAACCGCAGCCCCGUCAAAAUACAACAACACAACACAGCAGAUGCUUUAUAAUAUACUGUGUCGUCCAGUCUUAAUCUUUCCAUCUUUC